rnacentral:rRNA from 1 species
GUGAAGAUGCAGUGUACCCGCGGCAAGACGGAAAGACCCCGUGAACCUUUACUAUAGCUUGACACUGAACAUUGAGCCUUGAUGUGUAGGAUAGGUGGGAGGCUUUGAAGCGUGGACGCCAGUCUGCGUGGAGCCGACCUUGAAAUACCACCCUUUAAUGUUUGAUGUUCUAACGUGGACCCGUAAUCCGGGUUGCGGACAGUGUCUGGUGGGUAGUUUGACUGGGGCGGUCUCCUCCUAAAGAGUAACGGAGGAGCACGAAGGUUGGCUAAUCCUGGUCGGACAUCAGGAGGUUAGUGCAAUGGCAUAAGCCAGCUUGACUGCGAGCGUGACGGCGCGAGCAGGUGCGAAAGCAGGUCAUAGUGAUCCGGUGGUUCUGAAUGGAAGGGCCAUCGCUCAACGGAUAAAAGGUACUCCGGGGAUAACAGGCUGAUACCGCCCAAGAGUUCAUAUCGACGGCGGUGUUUGGCACCUCGAUGUCGGCUCAUCACAUCCUGGGGCUGAAGUAGGUCCCAAGGGUAUGGCUGUUCGCCAUUUAAAGUGGUACGCGAGCUGGGUUUAGAACGUCGUGAGACAGUUCGGUCCCUAUCUGCCGUGGGCGCUGGAGAACUGAGGGGGGCUGCUCCUAGUACGAGAGGACCGGAGUGGACGCAUCACUGGUGUUCGGGUUGUCAUGCCAAUGGCACUGCCCGGUAGCUAAAUGCGGAAGAGAUAAGUGCUGAAAGCAUCUAAGCACGAAACUUGCCCCGA